rnacentral:rRNA from 1 species
AUACGGAGGGUGCAAGCGUUAAUCGGAAUUACUGGGCGUAAAGCGCGCGUAGGCGGUUUGGUAAGUCGGAUGUGAAAGCCCCGGGCUCAACCUGGGAAUUGCAUUCGAUACUGCCAGACUAGAGUAUGGUAGAGGAAAGUGGAAUUCCGGGUGUAGCGGUGAAAUGCGUAGAUAUCCGGAGGAACACCAGUGGCGAAGGCGACUUCCUGGACCAAUACUGACGCUGAGGUGCGAAAGCGUGGGGAGCAAACAGGAUUAGAAACCCCAGUAGUCC